UACAGAGGUCCCAAGCGUUGUUCGGAUUCAUUGGGCGUAAAGGGUGCGUAGGUGGCAUGGUAAGUCGGGUGUGAAAUCCCGGGGCUCAACCCCGAACAUGCACUCGAUACUACCGUGCUCGAGUACUGGAGAGGAGACUGGAAUUUACGGUGUAGCAGUGAAAUGCGUAGAUAUCGUAAGGAAGACCGGUGGCGAAGGCUAGUCUCUGGACAGUUACUGACACUGAGGCACGAAGGCCAGGGGAGCAAACGGG
rnacentral:rRNA from 1 species